rnacentral:misc_RNA from 1 species
CAAAAAGUGAUAAGGUACAGUAACUGAGAAACCCAAACAGACACAAACAAGAAGACCAUCCAUCCUGGAUGAUGAUGACGUUGAGAGACAGCUGUGUUUACAGCUUUCUGUUGAGUCUUCCUUCUCUCUCUCUUGCUUCUCUUCUCUGUCGUUUCAUUCUCAAUUCUUGACGAUGCUAUCAUCAGCUCUUUGAACAGCUCCGGUCAAUCAGAUUCAAAUAUUAGUUUAAUUGGAGGAACAGCAAAGUUAUGAUCUUUNNNNNNNNNNUUUUGCUUUUUCUUUUCCCUUUUAUUGGUCAUCUACUUUUCAUUUUAGGGCUUUAUUCUCGUUAUCACUCAUUUCUGGCUAUUGGGUCUUUUUCUUCACUCCCCUUCUCCCUCUAAGCUGCGCUUAGCUCAAGGUAAUGAUUUUCACAUGGCACUAAUGCUGCAAGUCAUGCUGAAUUAGAAAUGGAUUAGUUUCUCUUCAUCUUCAACAAGUACCAUAUAUAUUAACUACAAUGGCUCGCAAAGGUAAUCAACAGAGGAAUGGAGUGGAUCGUCAUGCAUCAAACCACAAGAAAAAGGUUUCAGAUUCAGGGCAUGCAAUUCCUGAUAUGAAAGGAC